UACGUAGGUGGCAAGCGUUGUCCGGAUUUACUGGGCGUAAAGGGCGUGCAGGCGGUUUGUUAAGUGCAGGGUGAAAGCUCCCGGCUCAACUGGGAGAGGUCCUUGCAUACUGGCAAACUCGAGGGAGGCAGAGGAAAGUGGAAUUCCCGGUGUAGUGGUGAUAUGCGUAGAUAUCGGGAGGAACACCUGUGGCGAAGGCGGCUUUCUGGGCCUUACCUGAC
rnacentral:rRNA from 1 species